rnacentral:rRNA from 1 species
CCUACGGGAGGCAGCAGUGGGGAAUAUUGGACAAUGGGGGCAACCCUGAUCCAGCCAUGCCGCGUGUGUGAAGAAGGCCCUCGGGUUGUAAAGCACUUUCAGUGAGGAAGAACGCCUGGUGGUUAAUACCCAUCAGGAAAGACAUCACUCACAGAAGAAGCACCGGCUAACUCCGUGCCAGCAGCCGCGGUAAUACGGAGGGUGCGAGCGUUAAUCGGAAUUACUAGGCGUAAAGCGCGCGUAGGUGGCUUGAUAACCCGGUUGUGAAAGCCCCGGGCUCAACCUGGGAACGGCAUCCGGAACUGUCAAGCUAGAGUGCAGGAGAGGAAGGUAGAAUUCCCGGUGUAGCGGUGAAAUGCGUAGAGAUCGGGAGGAAUACCAGUGGCGAAGGCGGCCUUCUGGACUGACACUGACACUGAGGUGCGAAAGCGUGGGUAGCAAACAGGAUUAGAUACCCCGGUAGUC